UUAUUAUUAUUAUUAAUUUGUUUUUUUUUUUUUAAAUCACUGUUACAAAAGGUUGUUUCAGCAGGCGGUUGCUUCCCUCCUGAGCAGGGCUGUUUUCCAUCUCUAUGAGGGCAAGGAAGGCAGCAGGCUUUGCUGUGGAAGUACUCCUAGAAAAUGAAGCUUAAAAGGCAUACUGACAAUGGUGCCUGAGUGAGCUGGCCUAUUUGAUGGAGUAGACAUACCAACAGUCUUGUGUCCCAGCCAGACAUGGACCCCAAAGCUCAGAGCUGUGAAGGCACUGGAGGCUGGAAUCUGGUUGUGCUGUCUCUUGUUCCCAGUUUCCCAAAUGACAUAGGCCCCUUCCAGUUCUUCACAGGCGCAUGGGAAGCUCACGCUGAUUCCAGCAGCUGUCUGUGCUGUUACACCAUGCGCUGUCUUGCAUCUUGUCCCAUCACCUGAGGGCUCCUGAAGCCUCUCUCCCUGCCCUGGAAUGGCAGGGAAGCAGACUGUAUGGCGUCAUGCCCCUGUUAACCUCUGAUCAGGCGAUGGGGAUGACGAAACUUCUGUUACGAUGAGCUGGUGUUUUUUGUCUUCCAGUGAAAUGUUUC
rnacentral:lncRNA from 1 species